rnacentral:rRNA from 1 species
AUUGAACGCUGGCGGCAGGCCUAACACAUGCAAGUCGAACGGUAACAGGAAGCAGCUUGCUGCUUCGCUGACGAGUGGCGGACGGGUGAGUAAUGUCUGGGAAGCUGCCUGAUGGAGGGGGAUAACUACUGGAAACGGUAGCUAAUACCGCAUAAUGUCGCAAGACCAAAGAGGGGGACCUUCGGGCCUCUUGCCAUCGGAUGUGCCCAGAUGGGAUUAGCUUGUUGGUGGGGUAACGGCUCACCAAGGCGACGAUCCCUAGCUGGUCUGAGAGGAUGACCAGCCACACUGGGACUGAGACACGGUCCAGACUCCUACGGGAGGCAGCAGUGGGGAAUAUUGCACAAUGGGCGCAAGCCUGAUCCAGCCAUGCCGCGUGUAUGAAGAAGGCCUUCGGGUUGUAAAGUACUUUCAGCGGGGAGGAAGGGAGUAAAGUUAAUACCUUUGCUCAUUGACGUUACCCGCAGAAGAAGCACCGGCUAACUCCGUG